AGGCCGCGGCCUAACCUGCGAGUCGAGCGCCUGUAGCAAUACAGGAGCGGCAGACGGGAGAGUAACACGUGGGAACGUACCUUUCAGUUCGGAACAACCAAGGGAAACUUUGGCUAAUACCGGAUACGCCCGUAAGGGGAAAGAUUUAUCGCUGAAAGAUCGGCCCGCGUCUGAUUAGCUAGUUGGUGAGGUAACGGCUCACCAAGGCUACGAUCAGUAGCUGGUCUGAGAGGAUGAUCAGCCUCAUUGGGACUGAGACACGGUCCAAACUCCUACGGGAGGCAGCAGUGGGGAAUAUUGGACAAUGGGCGCAAGCCUGAUCCAGCCAUGCCGCGUGAGUGAUGAAGGCCUUAGGGUUGUAAAGCUCUUUCGGCGGGGACGAUAAUGACGGUACCCGCAGAAGAAGCCCCGGCUAACUUCGUGCCAGCAGCCGCGGUAAUACGAAGGGGGCUAGCGUUGCUCGGAAUCACUGGGCGUAAAGCGCACGUAGGCGGAUCUUUAAGUCAGGGGUGAAAUCCCAAGGCUCAGCCUUGGAACUGCCUUUGAUACUGGGGAUCUCGAGUCCGGAAGAGGUUGGUGGAACUGCGAGUGUAGAGGUGAAAUUCGUAGAUAUUCGCAAGAACACCAGUGGCGAAGGCGGCCAACUGGUCCGGUACUGACGCUGAGGUGCGAAAGCGUGGGGAGCAAACAGGAUUAGAUACCCUGGUAGUCCACGCCGUAAACGAUGGAUGCUAGCUGUUGGACAGCUUGCUGUUCAGUGGCGCAGUAACCCUUUAAGCAUCCCGC
rnacentral:rRNA from 1 species